rnacentral:rRNA from 1 species
UACGUAGGGGCCAAGCGUUGUCCGGAUUUAUUGGGCGUAAAGAGCUCGUAGGCGGUUGGGUAAGUCGGGUGUGAAAACUCCAGGCUCAACUUGGAGACGCCACCCGAUACUGCUCUGACUUGAGUUCGGUAGGGGAGUGGGGAAUUCCUGGUGUAGCGGUGAAAUGCGCAGAUAUCAGGAAGAACACCAAUGGCGAAAGCAGCUUUCUGGGACGGUACUGACGCUGAGACGCGAAAGCGUGGGGAGCGAACAGG